GAUAUUGACUAAACAUGAAAAGUAUCAGAGGUCACUGAGGUCCAUCCAUUCCUUAUUUCACUGCACACUCCCUUCCGUACGCACCGACGUCGUUUUGCAUACCCUAACCCCGAUUCCCUUCUCGAAAAGCUGGUGCUUCCCCUUCUCUAGUAUUGAACGUAUCCACAUUCCCAAUUUCACUCACUUCUCCUUUUCUUCCACUGUUCUUAGUUAAACUAUGUCGGGCAGAAACCGCGGGCAACCCCUUCCUCCUCCGCAUGCCGCGGGGCUAUCGCCGCCAAUUCACGACCACCCGGUGUUCGGCGCUCGGGCCCAUCACCAUCUGGUGGGACCCAUUGUCCCCGCCCAUCCCCACCCCGCGCUUCUGGAAGACUUCCGGGACUCGCAGCUAGGGCUGGGCCCACGCGGGCCCAUUCCGCUUCAUCCGGCGGCGAUCAUCGAGGAGCGUCUCGCGGUCCAGCACCAGGACAUUCAGGGCCUUCUGGGCGACAACCAGAGACUCGCCGCCACCCAUGUGGCCCUUAAGCAGGAGCUAGAGGCAGCCCAACACGAGCUCCAGCGCGUGGCGCACUUCCGAGACUCGCUCCGGGCAGACACAGAGGCCCGCAUGAGGGAGCUCUACGACAAGUCGGCCCAGCUCGAGGCCGAACUCCGGGGCACCGAGGCCAACCGGGCCGAGCUCCUCCAGGUCCACGCCGACAUCAAGGAGCUCACAGCCGUCCGUCAGGAUCUGUCCGGGCAGGUGCAGGCCAUGACGCAGGACUUGGCCCGCAUGACUGCCGAUGCCAAACGGCUGCCGGCGCUCAGGGCCGAUGUGGAGGCCAUGAAACAGGAGUUGCAAUGUGCAAGGGCUGCCAUUGAGUAUGAGAAGAAGGGAUUCGCAGAAAACUAUGAGCAUGGUCAAGUGAUGGAGAAGAAGUUGGUUUCAAUGGCUCGGGAGAUGGAGAAGCUUCGUGCGGAAAUUGCUAAUGCAGAAAAAAGAGCACGGGCUGCUGCAGCGGCCGGGAAUCCAGGCCCAGGGUAUAAUGCAAAUUAUGGCAAUGUUGAUGGUGGAUACGCUGGAAAUCCUUACCCUGGAAUUUAUGGCAUGAACCCAGUACAGUCUGGAGGGGAGAAUUUCCCUCAGUAUGGACCAGGGCCUGGGGCUUGGGGUGCAUAUGACAUGCAGCGCGGUCAAGGACACAGAUAGAUUCCUGUUAAGCAAUCAUAUAACUGGGCUAUGAAUUUUGGGCCCAAACAUUGUGCCCUGACUCUGAUUCCAUCAUUCAGAUCUGUAGUUAAAGGUGUCUUCAAUGGAAAGGGCCAUGUUUUGAUUUGGACACCAUUCAUAGAACCGUUGAAAGUGCAAUUCUUGACAACUACAUCUUCCACGGGUAGUUCAUGUGGGUUCCCACCACCACCAAGACUUCCGACACUGAUUCCGUGACCUGGGCCACAAAAAACAUUUGUAAUUCGAACAUUCUUGGUGCCAGAAAUCAUAGCAACACAGUCAUCGCCAGUGCCAAUUGUCACAUUCGUGAUGUUUAUUCCAUUUGUAAUAGAUGUUUUGAUUCCAUCUGUGUUUCGGUUGUUAGCAGGGCUUGUUAAGGUUAGGUUUGAGAAGGUCAUGUUUCCACUUCCGAACACUAUGAAAUGUCCGCCUUUACUAUCAACAGAAUGCAAGUUUUCAAUGCGACCGUUGGUGAUGAA